AAUUAUUGAACUUGUUAUAAGUUUAUAUUUUGAAAAUAUAAAAAAGAAGUAAAAUCUUCUAAUAAUUU
rnacentral:tRNA from 1 species